GUUCUUACAUUUGCGGUCUAUAAUACUCAUCUCCUUCCUUAUGCUACCCCGGUGGACCGCAUCAAUGCUACUGUUGGGUACAUUGGUGCUUCUUACGAUGUUCCAUCAUUAGUUGAAAAGCUUCUGCAGCAGCUUGCGAGCAAACAAACUAUUGUGGUAAAUGUUUAUGAUACAACUAACAAGUUUGCUCCAAUUAAAAUGUAUGGCAUGGAUGAGAACGACACAGGAUUACUUCACGUUAGCAACCUUGAUUUUGGGGAUCCUGCAAGGAGCCACGAGAUGCAUUGCAGGUUCAAGCAGAAACCUUCUCCACCCUGGACUGCAAUAACUCUAUCUGUCGGAGUCCUUGUUAUCACUCUGCUUAUUGGUCAUAUCUUCCAUGCUGCCAUCAACAGAAUUGCUGAAGUUGAGGGUCAGUAUCAGGAAAUGAUGGAGCUCAAACAUCGUGCUGAGGCUGCAGAUAUAGCAAAAUCACAGUUUCUUGCAACGGUUUCUCAUGAAAUCAGGACUCCAAUGAAUGGUGUUUUAGGCAUGCUUCAGAUGCUCAUGGACACGAACCUUGACCUAACGCAACUGGAUUAUGCACAAACUGCUCUUAGUAGUGGGAAUGAACUGAUAUCAUUGAUUAAUGAGGUGCUGGAUCAGGCUAAGAUUGAAUCAGGAAGGCUUGAGCUGGAGGCUGUUCCUUUUGAUCUCCGUGCUGAACUUGAUAAUGUUUCAUCGCUCUUCUCGGGAAAAUCUCAUAAAAAAGGGAUUGAGUUGGCUGUUUAUGUUUCUGACCUAGUCCCAGAAGUUGUUAUCGGAGAUUCAGGACGGUUCAAGCAGAUAAUUACGAAUCUAGUUGGAAACUCAGUUAAGUUCACAAAUGACAAAGGGCACAUAUUUGUCACAGUACAUUUAGCUGAUGAAGUGAGGAACCCUCAUGAUGUGACGGAUGAAGU
rnacentral:misc_RNA from 1 species